rnacentral:lncRNA from 10 species
GGCAUGAUGGUGCACGCCUGUGAUCCCAACUACCUGGGAGGCUGAGGCAGGAGAAUCGCUUGAACCUGGGAGGCAGAAGUUGCAGUGAGCUGAGAUCAGGCCGCUGUACUCCAGCCUGGGCAACAGAAUGAGGCUCCAUCUCAAAAAAACGACAGACAAACAAAAAACAGUGCUGUUGAGUGUGCAUUGAGACAGGCAUUUUCCAACACUGCCUUUCUGGAAGCAGGGAGGAGAGGCACAGAAAUUUCAGCAAGGGUAAAGUCUUCAUCCUGCAACCAUAUUUCUAGGAGUCUAGAUAAUUCGAUAUACAGGUAAAGUCACAGCAUUUAUUUAAUCAUGUUAAUUAGUUAUGUAACAUAUAAUAAAAUAAUAUUGUAUGUUAAUACAUAAUAUAAAUAUAUUAUGCUAAUACAUUGAUAUAUACACACUUAGUCCUUCUAUCUGUUACUAAAGGGAGCUCACGUGGCACCAACAAGGAAACACACACUUAGUCCUUCUAUCUGUUACUAAAGCGAGCUCACGUGACAUCAACAAGGAAACACACUUAGUCCUUCUAUCUGUUACUAAAGGGAGUUCACGUGACAUCAGCAAGGAAACACAGUCUUAUCUGUUACUAAAGCGAGCUCACGCGACAUCAACAAGGAAACACAGUUAGUCCUUCUAUCUGUUACUAAAGGGAGCUCACGAGACAUCAACAAGGAAACACAGUUAGUCCUUCUAUCUGUUACUAAAGGGAGCUCACGUGACAUCAACAAGGAAACACACUUAGUCCUUCCAUCUGUUACUACAGGGAGCUCACGUGACAUCAGCAAGGAAACACAGUACUAUCUGUUACUAAAGGGAGCUCACGUGACAUCAAAAACGAAACACACUUAGUCCUUCUAUCUGUUACUAAAGGGAGCUCACGCGACAUCAACAAGGAAACACACUUAGUCCUUCUAUCUGUUACUAAAGGGAGUUCACGUGACCUCAGCAAGGAAACACAGUCUUAUCUGUUACUAAAGUGAGCUCACGUGACAUCAACAAGGAAAUAGACUUAGUCCUUCUAUCUGUUACUAAAGGGGGCUCACGUGACUUCAACAAGGAAACACAGUUAGUCCUUCUAUCUGUUACUAAAGCAAGCUCACAUGACAUCAACAAGGAAACAGAGUCCUUCUAUCUGUUACUAAAGGGGGCUCACGUGGCAUCAACAAGGAAACACACUUAGUCCUUCUAUCUGUUACUAAAGGGAGCUCACGUGGCAUCAACAAGGAAACACACUUAGUCCUUCUAUCUGUUACUAAAGGGAGCUCACGUGACAUCAGCAAGAAAACACAGUCCUUCUAUCUGUUACUAAAGGUAGCUCACGUGACAUCAGCAAGGAAACACAGUCCUUCUAUCUGUUACUAAAGGGAGCUCACGUGACAUCAGCAAGGAAACACAGUCCUUCUGUCUGUUACUAAAGGGAGCUCACGCGACAUCAACAAGGAAACACAGACCUUCUAUCUGUUACUAAAGCGAGGUCACGUGACAUCAACAAGGAAACAUACAGUUAGUCCUUUGUAUCUGUGAUUUGUGCAUGUGCUGAUUCAAGCAGCCACGAGUCAAAAAUAUUUGCAAAAAAAGCCCUUUAAACUGUAUUGAACAUAUACAAAGUUUUUCUUUUUAUUAUUCUCUAAAUGACACAGUGUAACAACGAUUUGCAUAGCAUUUACAUUGUAGUAGGUGUUACCAGUAAUCUAGAGAUGAUUUAAAGUAUAGGGAGAAUGUGCAUAGUCUACGCUGAAUACUACACAACUGCAUAUCAGGGACUUGAGCGUCUAGGGAUUCUGGUAUCUGGGGGAGGUCCUGGAUCCAAUUUCUCAUGAAUAUCGACAGAUGACUGUAUGUUGUAUCUUGAUGCAAUGAAUAAACAAAGCAGAUAACAGUAACUGACAUGGGGUAGAAGGUGAGGGGAAAUGAAGGGGUUGCUAUUUAUAUGUUUACAUGGGAUGAACAGGGCAGACCCCACAGAGGGGAUAUUUAACAGAAGCUAAACGUACGAGAAGCAGUCCUGAGAACUGUAGACCAAGAGAGCUCGUGGUGGCCCUGGGAAGGGGCUUGUCAAAUCUCGUGGCCCCUAGGGGCUGGUGACUGUUAGCGGCUGGCCAACAGCCAGCUGCCGCCCUGAAAUCUACCACUGUCAGCCGGUAACCCACCAUGGUGGAGUAUAAAGGCAGGCCUGCUGCGAGGAGAUGAAAGACUCCUCUGCUGGGCAGCCUGGGCUGGAGGGUUCUACUACCAGCCUUGCCAAAAGUUUCUCAGAAUUGCACUGCAUUUUAAGACUUUGCCUGCCCAGCCCCCUGCAGCCCCUUCUCAUUUUCCUCCACAUGCACUUCUCCCAAAUAAUCUCUUGAGUGGCAAAUACCAUUCCGGUGUUUGCUGCUCCAAGAGCCCAGAUGUACACAGUGUUCCAAGAGAGGCUGCACAAAUACAGUGGCCCCGAGGAGCUUGGCAUUUUCGAGGAGCAUCAAGGAGGCCAGCGUGGCGUUCAUGGAAAGGACAGAGGGAGAGUGGGAGAUGAGGUCAGAAAUGUACUUGAAGUCCUUGCCGAAGAAAAAUCGUUGACUUGCUUAUUAUAAAACCCUUUUUGUUAAGGAAGAAAUAAAAACUGUUAACCAAUGGCAUCUGUAUCCAUUACAGAAUUUAAAGGCAGGGUAUCAUACAGCCAGUACCUUACAGUCUUCCCAUUAGCAGCAUUCAACACAUCUGUCCAGGUAGUAAACCUAAGUGGCCCAGCUCUGGGCCAUUAAAUUUUGAUGUAACCCAUUAAGGAAACUUACGGCCUUAGUUCAAAGGGCUGUUGCCAUUGUGUCUGUGAGAGCGGUGCUGCAGAGUGCAUUUUAUGCAAAUCUCAUAGAUUUUAAUGAGUGAUCCUGCUUAAUAAGCUAGUUAGACCAUUUGGGCAUUUACUUGAGAGUGACCACAAAUGCCUUUUUCUGAAACCAUUUUACAGUGCUAACAUUUCACUGAAAUAGCACUUAACACGGAGCCAGGCACACAGUGAGCACUAAGAGUGUUACAUGACUGAUGACAGGGAUGAAGAACAGGAGUCUUACCAGGUGUGUCAGUCUCGAUGCUCCUGAAUGACCCAGACAAAAAGGGACUAGAAACUUUCUUUUCAGGAGUUUGUGGCUUAGAUCCCUGUUUCACCACAAAGCAUGAGCUUGACACAGCCUGGACUUGACAGCACUUUCCACAGGGCACUUAAAAAUACUUGUACCUCCUCUCUUUUACCUCCAUAAACCAUGACAGGUCUUUGCUCAGCCUCUGAUAAGCAAAAGAUUAGAAAAUCCCUUUAAACUUCAGAAACAGAGCAAUGCUCAGUCAGGCGAUAAAAGCUGCAGAAAUUGGUCUUGAAUAUUAUCACUGUGUAUCAACUGAAGUCAGAUGAAGAGCUCCACAUUCAUCCAAAGUUCUUUUCAUACUAAUUAGAUGCUCUUCAAAGGUGUAAUUACCAUUUAAAAAUGACUUUGGAGUGCAGGAUACACAAUAGAUUUUUAAUGUCUUUUAAUUUAUUUCGAUGUUUCUCAUAUUUCAUUAGUACGUUCUUAUUUUACCAAUGAGUCACAGGACUUUCAAGGACUUUUCCCUCUCCCACAGUUAAAAUGCUAAGCAGAAGCUAAGCUCACGUGAAAAACUUGUCUCAAUAACCAGAGAAAGACUAUACUAAUUACAAUUUGGAUUGUGUGGAUUAUCAAUUUGUCCGAUACUCCGUUUGCCUCCACCUUGAGGAGAGAACUAUUUCCAGCCCCAGAGUCAAGCUGCCUCAUUGCACGGAAGAGGGAGUAAAAUAAGAAGCCUGGUGAUGUGCUUAUUGUCACAAUUUGUGGUACAGCUGACACUUAGACUACAUCUGCCCUUGAAGCUCAACUUCUUUGCCCUACUCCUGUGGUGUUUCUUGGCAUCUGGUAUCAUUUCAAAAGGAUAAGAAUGGCAUAGAGAAGGUUUCUCAUUGCUAAGCAUGGAGUAGGAAUAUUUUAGUGAAAUGUGUAAGUUUUGGGGCGGAAGUAAAAACACCCCAUCUGCUCUUCCACACUUGGAGAGAGCUGCACACAAAGCAGCAACUUGGCUCUGGGCGGCAGCUGGCUGAGGUCUCAUGGUCUGGAGGACAGCCCCUGGCUUUCACAUCGUCCGUGUCUUGCCAUUUCUCUUUGGAUAAGGCACAAAUGUCUGAAGAUAUCCUCCAGGCCCGAGGACCUGCUCCUAUUCUAUCCAGUCUCGUCUUUCAUGAGCCACUGUGCUUCAGCCACUGCUUUUCCUUCCACCCCUUUGUCUUUCCUUUUUCCCAGGUAUAAGGCCUUUGCACUUUCUAAACCCUCUCCUGCGUCUAGUGGGGACUUGGAGAAUCUUUGUGUCUCCCUAAGGGAUUGUGGAUGUACCAAUCAGCAACCUGUGUCUAGCUCAAGGUUUGUAAAUGCACCAAUCAGUGCUUUGUGUCUAGCUAACCUAGUGGGGACUUGGAGAACUUUUGUGUCUAGCUCAGGGAUUGCAAAUGCACCAAUCAGCACCCUGUCAAAAUGGACCAAUCAGCUCUCUGUAAAAUAGACAAAUCAGCUCUCUGUAAAAUGGACCAAUCAGCAAGGUGUAGGUGGGGCCAGAUAAGGGAAUAAAAGUAGGCUGCCUGAGCCAGCAGUGGUAACCUGCUAGGGUCCCCUUCUGCACUGUGGAAGCUUUGUUGUUUUGCUCUUUGCAAUAAAUCUUGUUUCUGCUCACUCUUUGGGUCCACAUUGCCUUUAUGAGCUCUAACACUCAUCGCGAAGGUCUACAGCUUCAUUCCUGAGCCAGCCAGACCACGAACCCACCAGGAGGAAUGAGCAACUCCAGACAAGAGGAAGGAGCAAACUCCGGACACACCGCCUUUAAGAACUGUAACGCUCACUGCGAGGGUCCGUGGCUUCAUUCUUGGAGUCAGUGAGACCAAGAACUCACCAAUUCCUGACACAAAGAGAGGCCUAAGAAACCAUCUAGGCCAAUGCUAUGGUUUUGGAGUUCAGGACAUUGUGGCUUAGAGACAAUAAUGGAUCUGCCUAAAAUCACAACACAAACUAGUACCAGUUCUUGAAUGAAAAUGUAGGUCUUCUGAUUCCUAGCCAAAUGCUUUUUAUAAGAAUGAAAAUUUUGUGUCCUUGGAAGGCCUAAGGCAUUUUCCCAGAGUAACUUAGAAGAGUCGGGCUCCAUGAAUAAUUUAGUAAUAUAGAAAUAAGAUUUUUUAAAAUGUCUAAAAUUGACUGCAUGACCCUGGAUAUAAAGUAUAAAAGCAGAAGACAGAUGUGAUGUGAGGCUGGCAACAAGUCGUGCCAUGCUCUAUGUACCCACACUAAAAGACAAUAUCCUUUCCACCUUACAUACUUUAUGGCAGUAUAAGCAUGUUAAGUAUGCAAAUCCUACAAUGCUGGCAACAUUUCAAGACUAGUUGUGUCACGGUGUUCAUAAGCCUGGGAGCUCACUAAGCUACAGAGCUCUUAAAACGUAGAAGUAGAAGAGGUAGAAAAAAAAAAGGAAUCACACUCCUUAUUACUGUAAACCAAAGAAAAAAUAUUUACAUUUUCAGCAUUCUGUUGGGUAGGAAAAAAGCUUUUCCUAUCCCAUCUUACAUGUUGUGCUGGAGCCUGUGAAUUAAAUUGAAAAAACAACAGCAACAAAAAUUAACAAGAGGCAAAAGCACACACAUGUAAUUGAUGUUUUCAUGUUACAUGCGUGCUGGCUACACAUAAGAUAAGUGAAAAACUCAAAACACUGGUUAGACUCAGGGGCUUAUAAACGAUGUGUGUAAUUCUGGAAUAAUCCUACUGACCUUGAAGCAGGCCCAAUACUCCCACAGCGUGUUCUUUUGUAUAAACAUAGACAUUGACUCUUCCGCUCUUAAAGCUUGAAACUUGUAUUUGUUUCAUCUGAGUUCUUUCCUCAGGAAAGGACCUUCAGGCCUCUCCAAAAAAAAAAAAAAAAGCAUUAAAGAACUGAAACUCACCAGAUGAGACCUCCUUGUUCCUCCCUAGUUCGUGUUUCCUACACAUUGUUACAUUUCUUGCCUGUUGUAUAAAACCCCAUUUUUAGUCAGUCAGGGCGAUGGAUUUGAGGCUGAGCUCCCAUCUCCUCAGCUGCAGCACCAGAUGAAAGCUUCUUCCCUGGAAACACUCACCAUCUCAGUGAUUGGCUUUCUGUGCAGUGAGCAGCAGGACUUAGACCAAACCCAUGGUGUUUUGGUAACAACCUCACCAAAAUAGAUGGGCACACACACAAGCCUUUAAAGAUACAAAGUUAAACGGAUAGUAUGGAUCAUUCAGUAUAGAGGAAACAGCAUAGCAAAUGUAUAGAGACGGAAAAUUACUAGAUAUGUUCCAGGAGCAACAUGCAAAUUCCACUGCCAGUUUUGGCUGUGAGGUCAAACAGAUCUGAUCUGAAUGUUUGCAUUCCUCCAAAAUUCAUACAUUGAAACCUAAUUCCCAAUGCAAUAACAUUAAGAGGUGGGGUCUCUAGGAGGUGACCAGGUCAUAAGGGUGGACCCUUCAUGAAUGGGUUUAGUACCCUUAUAAAAAUGUCUGAGAGAGCUUGCUUGUUUCUUCUGCCAUAUGAGGACAUAGAGAAAACUCCAUCUAUGAUGAAUGGGCCCUCAGCAGGCACCGAGUCCACUGCUGCCAUAUGAGGACAUACAGAAGACUCCAUCCAUGAUGCAUGGGCCCUCAGCAGGCACCAAUUCUACUGCCGCCAUAUGAGGACAUACAGAAGACUCCAUCCAUGAAUUGGCUCUCAGCAGGCACCGAGUCUACUGCUGCCAUAUGAGGACAUACAGAAGAAUCCAUCCAUGAUGCAUGGGCCCUCAGCAGGCACCGAUUCUACUGCUGCCUUGAGCUUGGACCUCUGGCCUCCAGAACUACUAGCAAUACAUUUCUGUUGUUUUAUAAAUUACCUAGUCUAAGGUACAUUGCAGCAGAAAUGGACUGAGAGAGACAUCUUUCAGAGAAUUACCUCUGUUUGUUUGUCUGUUUCUGUUUUGUAAAACUGGAAGAAGAAUAGAACUUACAGUUCUGUGGUAUAAGAUUGUGUCCAGAAUUGGUGGGUUCUUGGUCUCACUGACUUCAAGAAUGAAGCUACAGACCCUCAAGGUGAGUGUUACAGUUCUUAAAGGCGGCGUGUCUGGAGUCUGUUCCUUCUGAUGUUCAGAUGUGUUGGGAGUUUCUUCCUUCUGGUGGGUUUGUGGUCUUGCUGGCUCAGGAGUGAAGCUGCAGACCUUCGCGGUGAGUGUUACAGCUCUUGGGGCAGUGUGUCUAGAGUUGUUCGUUCCUCCUGGUGGGCUCCUGGUAUCGCUGGCUUCAGGAGUGAAGCUGCAGACCUUCACGGUGAGUGUUACAGCUCAUAAAGGUAGUGUGGACCCAAAGAGUGAGCAGUAGCAAGCUUUAUUGCAAAGAGCAAAAGAACAAAGCUUCCACAGUGUGGAAGGGGACCCCAGCAGAUUGAAGCUUCUGGCUCGGGUAGCCUGCUUUUAUUCUCUUAUCUGGCCCCACCCACAUCCUGCUGAUUGGUCCAUUUUACAGAGAGCCGAUUGGUCUGUUUCACAAAGAGCUGAUUGGUCAGUUUUGACAGGGUGCUGAUUGGUUCGUUUACAAUCCCUGAGCUAGACACAAAAGUUCUCCACAUCCCCACUAGAUUAGCUAGAUAGAGUGUCGAUUGGUGUAUUUACAAACCCUGAGCUAGACAGAGUGCUGAUUGGUGCAUUUACAAACCUUGAGCUAGAUACAGCGUGUCAAUUGUUGCAUUCACAAUCCCUUAGCUAGACAUAAAGGUUCUCCAAGUCCUCACCAGAUUAACUAGAUACAGAGUGCUGAUUGGUGCAUUCACAAACCCUGAGCUAGACGCAGGGUGCUGAUUGGUGUGUUUACAAACCUUGAGCUAGAUACAGAGUGCUGAUUGGUGUAUUUACAAUCACUUAGCUAGACAUAAAGAUUCUCCAAGUCCCCACCAGACUCAGGAGCACAGCUGGCUUCACCCAGUGGAUCCUGCACCAGGGCCGCAGGUGGAGCUGCCCGCCACUUCCGCACUAUGAGCCCGCACUCCUCAGCCCUUGGGCGGUCGAUGGGACUAGGCACAGCCCUGGAGCAGGGAGCGCCCCUUGUCGGGGAGGCUCGGGCUGCACAGGAGCCCAUGUGGGGGUGCGGCGGGGGAGGCAGGCUCAGGCAUGGUGGGCUGCAGGUCCCAAGCCCUGCCCUGCCGGAGGCAGCUAAGGCCCAGCAAGAAGUCGAGCACAGCAGCUGGUGGCCCA